rnacentral:lncRNA from 1 species
CUUUUCGAAGGAGGCGAUUAGCUCGAAUACAAGAGAUUAAAUAUGAUGGGGAGUCUUCUUUGACACCAUUGAAGUAAAAUACUAGUUGAUUCGGAAUACUAAAGGUAACAAUUUUCUUAUAACAAUCAAUACUUGCAUGGUAUGCAGAAAGCCAAUCCAUGCCUAAGAUUACAUCAAAAUCUUGAAUUUUCAGGAGUAUUAAAUCAACCAACAGUUCC